AUUGAACGCUGGCGGCAUGCCUUACACAUGCAAGUCGAACGGUAACGGGCCUUCGGGUGCCGACGAGUGGCGAACGGGUGAGUAAUACAUCGGAACGUGCCCGAUCGUGGGGGAUACGAGGCCAAAACUUUUCUUAUUCCCCAAUCCGAUUUACGAUUCAAACCAGGGGCCGGCAGGCCCUUGCGCGGCCGGACCGGCCGAUGGCAGAUUAGGUAGUUGGUGGGAUAAAGGCUUACCAAGCCGACGAUCUGUAGCUGGUCUGAGAGGAUGAUCAGCCACACUGGGACUGAGACACGGCCCAGACUCCUACGGGAGGCAGCAGUGGGGAAUUUUGGACAGUGGGCGCAAGCCUGAUCCAGCCAUGCCGCGUGCAGGAUGAAGGCCUUCGGGUUGUAAACUGCUUUUGUACGGAACGAAAAGCCUUCUUUUAAUACAGGAGGGUCAUGACGGUACCGUAAGAAUAAGCACCGGCUAACUACGUG
rnacentral:rRNA from 1 species